rnacentral:rRNA from 1 species
UCCGUAGGGUGCAAGCGUUAAUCGGAAUUACUGGGCGUAAAGCGUGCGCAGGCGGUUUUGUAAGUCUGACGUGAAAUCCCCGGGCUUAACCUGGGAAUUGCGUUGGAGACUGCAAGGCUGGAGUCUGGCAGAGGGGGGUAGAAUUCCACGUGUAGCAGUGAAAUGCGUAGAGAUGUGGAGGAACACCGAUGGCGAAGGCAGCCCCCUGGGUCAAGACUGACGCUCAUGCACGAAAGCGUGGGGAGCAAACAGG